rnacentral:tRNA from 1 species
CCCUGGGUAGUGCAAAUGGUUAACACGUUUGGCUCUUAACCAAAAGGUUGGAGGUUCGAGUUUACCCAGAGG